ensembl:lncRNA LINC02828 long intergenic non-protein coding RNA 2828
AAGCUUCGAACAAGGUCAAAGACGUUGUUCAGACGUUGCUGCUGUGGCUUAGGAGAGGAGCAGCCCAGUCUGACUCGUGGAUUUUUACCCACUGCUGUCAGAACACACUUUCUGUUAGAAUCCCCCAAGACCUCAGACCUACAGCCUGCCCCUUAGGUGGUUCACUGUCUUCAUCGAAACGUUUGCCGCCGAGUCGCACGUCCUUGGCACCAAAAAGCGUUGAGUCCAUUUUUCAAAGCUCUAAUGUGCUCUUUAAAACACAGUUAUAUACGUGAAAUUCCGGUAAUAAGGGACAAAAUGGUUAAGCUCUUGAUUUGAGACUAAGGAUGGAGAUGGGGCCAUUUAGAAUGCCCAGAUUCAAGAGGCAAGUAGAAAGGAGAGUUGACGAAGGGUCCCGAGCAGGGACAGCUGGAAAAGCAGAGCUGGUGGAACUUGGAGAGCUGUGGCUUCCUGUGGUUGUUGAAGGUGACGGUCAUCUUGAUCCUGGCUGGGCAGUGCUGGAGCAGCUUCCCCACCUGGGGAUCUCACUGGCUAUCCUUCUCCUCAACUUGGAUGUUUAGUUGUCUUUUUAUUUCUUUGUUUAUUGUUGCUAUUGGCUUUGUUUGUGGGUUUAUUUCUUAUUUUGGGACUUUUAGCACAUAAAGUUGGAGAUAAUGAAUGGGAACAGAAUGGGAAAGAGUGGAUAUAAUGAUACACCACAUACCCAUCACCUACUUUCAAUAAUUACCUACACUUUCCCAGUCUUCUUCCAUGUAUUCCCCAUACUCUAUUGUCUAUUUUUCUGGAGAAUUUUGAAGUAAAUCUAAUAUAUCA